rnacentral:rRNA from 1 species
AGUCUGCAACCCGACUACAUGAAGCUGGAAUCGCUAGUAAUCGCAGGUCAGCAUACUGCGGUGAAUACGUUCCCGGGUCUUGUACACACCGCCCGUCGCACCAUGGGAGCUGGUAACACCCGAAGUCAGUAGUCUAACCGCAAGGAGGACGCUGCCGAAGGUGGGAUUAGCGACUGGGGUGAAGUCGUAACAAGGUACC